ensembl:rRNA 5S_rRNA 5S ribosomal RNA
GUCUAUGGUCAUACUGUCCUGAACGAGAUCCUCAUCUCAUCUGGGAAGCCAAGCAGGGUCAGGCCUGGUUAGUACUUGAGUGGAUGACUGCCUGAGAAUACUGGGUGCUGUAGGCU